CCGCGACCCGGCAGCUCUGGCUGGACGCCGGUCGGGAGCGCUGGGGGCAGGCGGUCUCCUGAGGACUCCGUCGGUCUCCGACCUGGCAGAACACCUCCCGGCUCUGGACGCCGUCUCCGCAUGAUGCUGAACACUGAAAGAAAUGAGGAGAGAAUGACACUGGAGCCUGGAAAGUGGUCGGUUUCAUCCGUCUGUGUCUAAUCUAUAGCAGUGACGCUUCAAAUGUGUUUCAUAUGCUGUAAUGCAAAGCACAUUUCUGAAGAGAACAAAAAUGAAUGAGAGCGGGGUGAAGAACGAAUAAAGGUUUUAUUUUGUGCCAGCUCUGUUUUGACCUGAGGCCGAACUGUGA